rnacentral:tRNA from 1 species
UCUAAUGUGGCAGAAUAGUGCAAUGAAUUUAAGCUUCAUAUAUAAAAUUAAACUUUUCUUUAGAA